rnacentral:rRNA from 1 species
UACGAGAGGCCCAAACGUUAUUCGGAAUUACUGGGCUUAAAGAGUUCGUAGGCGGCGCGGAAAGUGGGGUGUGAAAGCCCUCGGCUCAACCGAGGAAUUGCGCUCCAAACUACCGUGCUUGAGGAAGCUAGAGGUGAGCAGAACUGAUGGUGGAGCGGUGAAAUGCGUUGAUAUCAUUAGGAACUCCGGUGGCGAAGGCGGCUCGCUGGAUCUUUUCUGACGCUGAGGCGCGAAAGCUAGGGGAGCAAACGGG